GCCUAUCCAAAAAUAUUAAAUUGAGGCCUUAGUGCUUAAGGCACAGGACUUGUCAGUAUCACCAUUUCACAAGAAUUGGAAAAUUGUCUAAAUCCCGGACUAUUAGUGUCACGUGAGGGCUGGUUGGAAACCAUUGAUUUAUGUCCCGGGUGUAAAAGCUUUUUGAAGACUGCUUUAUAUAAAAAUAAAAAUGGCAUGUGUGAUAAUACUCAAUAGAGGAAUAGAGACUCUUCUAUGAUAUUAAUAAUGUUGAACGUUUAUUAUGCUAAAUACUGUCAUCGAGGGGUUCUGGUGGCAUCAUAUCAAAUUGUGAGACCACCAAAGGUCAAGUGGCUUAUAAAUGUCUUCAGAACCCCUGAGAUGGUAUUACUUUCCUCAAUACAUGCUUCAUCAUUAUGAAUCGUUUAUAUUACAUGAUAUUUAUAGGUUACAGUCAGUGUUAGAUUAAGUGCUAAGGUAGUGUGGGUGUUAACGUUUAGUGUGGAACUAUAGGGUUUAAUAUGUACUGGAAAAACCUAAUGAGAUUAACAGUUAGCAAGUAAAAGCAGGUUCUUAACCAAGAGUCUUAUGGGAAAUCUAAUGUCUCGUGGGAAAUUCUAUGUGGCUUAUUAGACAUCCCAUGUGACUCAUUGAAAAUUCAGACUGGUUAUUUAGCGGUAUUCGUGUAAAACAACUGUAGACCAGAGAGGAAAAUUUUGAUUAUUACUGAUGGGACACAUUUAAUAUGUGCCAACAGCGGAUCCAAAAAUUUGCAUAUUUAAGGGAAGGUAUCACCACACAAAUCAAAAGAAUGUUAAUGGUUCUCCAUAUUGAUUGCUCCACUUUUUUGAACUUUGACAUUCCAUUGCUUUCUGUGACCUUUCUAUUAGUGACAAUUUAUAAAUCUGCUGAAAGUCUCAAUUCAACGUGAGGUUAGUAAGAUAUUAGUAGUCAUGUCCCAUCGACUUUCCACGUGGAUUAGCCAUUAGUCAGAACUGAUCAAAUAGUUUAUCUAAGUCUGCAGGAAAUUAAUGCAAACUCCAUCCUGCAGUCAAUUAUUCACCUUUGUUAACACUUAGUGCUUAAUGAUUGAUAAUACUUUCGCUGCACAUGUACUUAUGAGCGAGUAAUAUGCACUUGUUACAGAUACUUUGUGGCUCAAUGUGAAUUGGCUUAUACGUGAGUUCAUUGGGUAAUGUUGAGUAUAUGUCUACAUUUUUAGUGUAGUAUACAUUCUACAUUAUUUUGUUUCUGCUUUUAAUAUACUGUUGAAUAUUUGACGUGUUCUUUUUGUUUACCAAAAGAACUGUAACCGCCACCCUGAAAAUCAAGACUAAAAAAUUAAAUUGAAAGGCUGAUGGAAGGCCAAUUUACUGGACCUCCACAAUUGUGAAUGCUAAGACUACAGUGAAUGUACAACCCCAAAAUUCAGACACAUAUUUUUACAACUGGGGUUGGUGGAAGAUGUCCACAUAAUAAGAAGACCGUUCUUCACAACACAUAGGAUCAAUUUCGCCCCAUCUACUCAUACGUUCAUUCACCAGUUUAAUGAGUAUAAGUAUUUAAUUUGCACAAUAUAAAAAGGGUCCAAAUCAGCCUCUGCUAAGAGUAAUUAAAGGUUAACAUAUGUAUAAAUGUAUGCGUUAACACAUGUUCAUAUAUGUAAAAUGUAUGAUAUGUAGAUGUUUCUCGUUGCUGCUGGGAGUUUACAAAAAUAUACAAUGGAAUUCUGCAAAGAGAAAAAGUGGUGUGUGAUUGUUAGAAAAUUUAGUAUUUUGGCGGGGUAUUUUGGGAGAAAAUCUUCACCAUGGCCUAAUCUAGGGCACAGUUUUACAUUUUGCUUAGAUAAUCUGUAGAAUUGUAUUUGAAUGUACACUCAAACUUACCAAGACAGACAAAAUUGACUAUUUUGUACAAGAUUUCGUUUUUAAGCUAAAACAUUCGUUGGAAAUAAAAAAAAAAAAUUUUUUUCCUCGCAGCUAUUGUGUGGUUAAAUAAAAUAACAGGCUCAAUUCUGCACGUUUACCCAAGGGAGACCCAUAAUAUUCCCAUCGCUAAAUUUAAAUGAAAUUAAGAAAUACAAAAUGAAUGUUAGCAUGAGCGAUCUAGAAGCAAUAGAGAUUUAAAAAAAAACAAAAAAAAAAAACGUGGCGCACACCACUAACCUAUGGGAUUUCCAGGAGUGCAGACUGCCCCUCAUUUUCCUAUGUACAAAUCCUAUGCUACCUGUAUUUUCAAUUUUACUUAUUAUCUUAUUGCACCUGAGAUUAAAGCACAGCCUCUUCACCACUUUAUACACGCAAUGGGCUAGAUUCAGUCAACAGAGUUACAUUCAUCCCAUCAUAUUAGAUACAUUUCCAAC
rnacentral:lncRNA from 1 species